rnacentral:rRNA from 1 species
AACGCGAAGAACCUUACCUGGGUUUGACAUACACCGGAAAAGCCUAGAGAUAGGUUCCCCCUUGUGGUCGGUGUACAGGUGGUGCAUGGCUGUCGUCAGCUCGUGUCGUGAGAUGUUGGGUUAAGUCCCGCAACGAGCGCAACCCUUGUCUUAUGUUGCCAGCACGUUAUGGUGGGGACUCGUAAGAGACUGCCGGGGUCAACUCGGAGGAAGGUGGGGACGACGUCAAGUCAUCAUGCCCCUUAUGUCCAGGGCUUCACACAUGCUACAAUGGCCGGUACAGAGGGCUGCGAUACCGCGAGGUGGAGCGAAUCCCUUAAAGCCGGUCUCAGUUCGGAUCGGGGUCUGCAACUCGACCCCGUGAAGUUGGAGUCGCUAGUAAUCGCAGAUCAGCAACGCUGCGGUGAAUACGUUCCCGGGCCUUGUACACACCGCAUAC